rnacentral:lncRNA from 1 species
AUUUACUUUCUGUUCAGGACCCUCAUGAAAAAUGGGAUUUUACUUUAUGUUCAGGACCCUCUUGAAAAAUGGGAUUUCACUUUAUGUUCAGGACCCUCCUGAAAAAUGAGAUUUCACUUUAUGUCCAGGACCUUCCUGAAAAAUGGGAUUUUACUUUCUGUUCAGGACCCUCCUGAAAAAUGGGAUUUUACUUUCAAUUCAGGACCCUCCUAAAAAAUGGGACUUUACUUUCUGUUCAGGACCCUCCUGAAAAAUGAUAUUUUACUUUCUGUUCUGGACCCUCUUGAAAAAUGGGAUUUUACUUUUUGGAAAAUGAAUUCUUUCUUUAUCAUAAAAUUUGUUUAGAUAUUUUCGUUCUAGUUUUGAUUUUGAUUUCAGAAGCCCGCCUGAAGAACCAGGGUGAUGAAAUUGCAAGUCAGGAGUCCGCCUGAAGAACAGGGUGAGGAAGAUGAAAGCCAAGCAACAAGGUAAAGAAAUUAAAAGUCGAAAAAUAGCAAGUCAGGAGCCCGCCCAAAGCAUAGGGUGAAUAAAUGAAAAGUCAAUCAACAAGGUGAAGAAGCUAAAAGUUAAACAACAAGGUGAAGAAAUUGAAAGUCAACAAAUGGAAAAAUAACAAGUCAGGAGCCCACCUGAAGAACAGGGUGAUGAAAUGGGAAAUUGAAGAAACUGCAAGUCAGGAACCCGCAUGAAGAAUAGGGUGAUGAAAUUGAAGUACAAAAAAUGGCAAGUCAGAAGCCCACCUGAAGAGCAAGGCGAAUAAAUGAAAGUCGAGCAAUGAAGUGAAGCAAUGGAAAACCAAGCAACAAGUUGAAGAAAUUGCAAGUCAGGGGCCCGCCUGAAAAAUAGUGUGAUGAAGUAGCGAGUCAAGCGUCAAGGAAAGCUGCAUAGAUAGGAAUUUUGUAAUUUCAUUUAUAUUUUAACUUGUAAUUUUCAUUUUAAGGUAAUGACAGAGCCGCGGACCGGAACCUCGAUGGAACCUCAUUCGACUCUCCAACUUGAUUUAGUCCAUCUCCGUCCAAUCCUUUGAGAUAUCGAUCACUUGAUUCCCUCAUAACUUGGGUGGGUAGAAUGUCCAUCAAGACUAGGUUGCCCUUCUUCCUUCUGUUUCCUUCCUCGAAUAAUGAUCAGGAAAAAAUUCUGUUUCGUUGUCUACUUAUUUGAAUGAAAACACUUGGUG